rnacentral:lncRNA from 1 species
CUUAGACUAAUCUUUAGUCUUUAUCUUUUAUGGCUCUAACAUUUAACUGAUAGUCAUGAUUUUCUUUCAUGUUUUGCGGCUUGAUUAUCCCAUCUCCUCUUGGUUUAAAUCUUCUAUUUCCACUUCACUUUUUCUUAAUCUCUUCAAAGAUUUAGAUAUCUAAGCAUUAUUUUAAAGCUCCCUCUUAAUUGAUACAACAGGUUGCUCAAAGACAGAAAGGCUUUCUUCAAACUUAGUGUCUGCAAUGAUAGAAUUAUUGAUAUUUGUUGGAGCAAUAGACUCAUUUGGUUAAUGAAGAGUAGUCAUGGAAUUAUCCCCCUUAAAAACAGUUUCUUUCUCUUUUAUUGGGUCCAAAGUCCUCAUCUUCUUUAGCUUGUCUUCAGCAAGAACAAGUCAUUUUCUUUUAAUCUUCUCCAUUUUCUUCUUCUUCUUCAGAGCAUGACUUUACUGUUGUGGAAAAGAGAUUGAUGAUUGGUAGGGCAGCGGGACCUUAAGACUGGUCUUCUUCCUCUUCCCUUUAUACUACCAUGAGAGGGUAGCUAAUUCACCCUUAUCAGUUAUUUCAUCAUCAAAGAGCAUCAACUAGUCUUUCCUGUUCUACUUCCCUUGUAGAGAGAAGAAGUUCCCAUUGUUUGGAUUGAGAACUCAUGUAACCUUCUAGACUGGUACUAAGAUCAUCAGGUCUAGUUUUAUGGCAUUAAGCUUCUGCAAUCGCGGUGUUGAUCUAUUUUACGACUUGAAAGAUCUUGCUCUUGGAUACUUUCUGAUUAAGCUCCUUACAUGAGAUAUAGACUUUUAUAAUCAGAGUUUCUUUGACAAACAUUUCAUGGAUGUUAGACUUCCAUUAAAUAUUUUUGAGAUUCAUUCAUCUCGAGAGUAAAUGCAUAAUUCUUGACUGAGCAUUAGCAUCUGAUGAUCCAGAAAUACUAUCUUUAAGGGCAAUUGGGGAAUUCUUCAAUGGUGAUCCAACAGUUUUGGUACCUACAGGUUUAAUAAACUUCUAUCUUGGUACCCAUUAUUUUUUAAGUCUUGCUAGGUUUAUUUUCUUGAAUACCCAAAUCUUUCAGACUUUAGGUUUUCACCAUGUAUUAUAAUUACAAUGUAAAGCACAUAUUCCUAUGAUGAUUAUAACAGUUAAUAUGCUACAUAAGUGUGUAUGUGUAUGGACUUCUUUUUCAUCUAAAACUUGUGUGGCUGAAAAGCCUUUCCUUUUAGUUGAAACUAAUUUUGUCUUUACUAUGUUCUAAGAUUUUGAAUUUUCGCAGAGUAAUGAUCAGCUCUGUGAUGUACACCUAGUUGUUUCGUGAAGUUGAUCAAACUCUACGACUCUUAGGGUACAUAUGUAGUUUUGAUUACCCUUUACGUUUUCAUCAAAAUCACAGAACAUUGUGUUACUGAUAGUUCGUUAAUACAAUUGAACUAGUCAGCAAAAGUUGAAUAACCUGGAAUACUAAGCUUAAGUAACCUCUAUGGAUUUAACAAUAACAACACCUCCAAUGAGAAGGGAGAUAAUCAUCGUAGUUAAUUUCCAUUGAGUUUUCCACACCCAAAGCAGAAAAUAAAUUUUCAAGCUCCAGAACUGAUUUUUAUCGAAACCACAACUCUGAUUAAUGACCAGUAAGUUCACAUAUAAGAAAGAACAAUUCCAUAAUUAAGAUUGUCAAUUCUAACUCCUCUAACUUAGAGGUAAUUAGACUCUCUCAGUGCAUACCCUUCAGAUAUCUUUCUCAAAGAUACAUUUUUAGCCUCAAAUUUGGAUAGAGAGACAAUGUUUAUCAGAGUAAUUCACACCUCUGCUUCCACUAUCUUUUUCUCCUUUUGAAGAAGAAAAUAACCCUUUGAUAUAACACUAAGAAAAUUCAAGUAAUAAUGCAACCCAUACAUAUCAUAUAAUGCAAUUCUACAAUCAUCAUAAUUAAUAUUGGAAGCAACAAUGUUAAAUACCUCACUGACGUUAAUCUCUCGACAGUCUGAGGUACUGCUUGAGCUGUUGCAUUAUGUUGUUGGGUAGAGAUUUGCAAUAUUCAGAGACACCAACAACUAUAAUCACCUGUAGCAUUUCCAGGAUGAUCUUUUUACUUUAUCAGAUUGACUUACCGAGCAGAACACAUCGAGCAGAUCCUUAGCUUUAAAACAGAUGGAAAGACUUGGCAUCCCAUAUUCCUUGGAAAGAUCAAAUGAACCUCAGGGUUCAGAAUCUUGUUGGGAUAGAACGUGCCAUUUUCAUUGGAGCAGUUUAUAAGCUUAUUGAAUCUUUUAUAUAACGAAGUGGUCUUUCUUCAGGGACAUGAAUGGAUUAACACUUAGCUUCACCCUUAAUCACAGUUAUAAAAGCUUCUCAAACUCCUUUGGUGGAGGUGAAAAUCAUGACAUCUUCAAGCACAUCAUUGUUCAAUACUAUGAACAUAAAACUCUUAGCUCUGGUUGCACCUGUACUUUCCCAUAGAUGGAUUGCUCAAUCUGUUGAUUAGUCUUAGCCUUGCUAAGCUCGUCUAAUAAUAGCGAUAACUUCGUUUAUGCACAUGGAUGAAUCUAGAUAGCAUCAAGCAGAUCAUUUACAUUCAUAAAUAUAUAUUCCUGCACAUACAAUUUUCAACAUGUAAGCUCUUCUUCAUUUAGAAGUUGUGUUUGACUUUCACAACCAAGUUUAGACCUGGUUUUAGUUUAGUGCCUUAGAUCAACUCAAAGUGUAAGCUUUAGAUAUUCCUGAGAACUUGCUCUGAUACAAAUUGUUGUUUCCCAGAGGCACACUGGAGACCUAGAAGGGGGGUUGAAUAGAUCUUUAAAAACAUUUCGAUUGAUUAAAGAUGUAUUGCCAAGAAAUCAGUUAAUUAUUUUGAUAAAGCAUGUCGAAAUAUUCUUUUAAAAAACCCCCUUAUAGAUUAUGGAAUCCACAUAUCCAAAUUUAGUCUUAUGGGUGUUCAAACACAGCAGAUAUAGCAGGAAUAAUGUGUAGGAUAUCCACUAAGGAUAUAGGUCCAACAAACCAUUUACAUCUGAACCACUAAGGUCCUUUGAGUAACUGAGUCUCGGCAUCGAGUCACUUAAGCUCAACAAUUAGAUCACUAAAACUAGGAUCCUCCGACCCUACUUCCUGUUUGAUGAUGUUUGUUGGAGGUGCAACUAAGAUGGCAUGUAAGCUCUUCAUCUUUUGGUACUUAGUAACAUGGUUGUAAUUAUCUCCUUGAUGUUGCUGAUAUUUGACAUUAAUACUAGACCUCUUCUAGUAGUCAGUAGCUACUCAUGAUCAUAGUUGAUGUGCUACUAAGCUUUGAAAUUCAUCUCUAUAUCUUUUUAUGCUUAGCAGCCUAGAACACUUAUUAGAUUGUAGAGUUCAACUACUCUACGUCUUCAUCUGUUCACCUUUGAGUGUUCUUGGUGAUUCGUAGAGUGGAACUUGAGGUUGGCCUUCUGAUCUGCCACUCAUACUUAAUUAACAUCAACUUCAUGUCUCAUCGGCACUUCGGCUCUUAGCUCUGCCAUCUUCUUCAUCAACUCGGCACUUCGGCUUUAAGCUCUUUAGCUCUUUGGCUCUUCGGUUCUAGCUCUUUGGCUCUGUGCUCUUCAUCUUCCUAUCUCUUCGGCUCUGGAUCCUUAGUUCAUUAACACUUUUGCACUCUCACAUAUUUUUGCAAUUUUCUUGGCAUUGCAGCUCUAGCUUGCUUUUUCUUUUUCGCUCAGGCCAGCACUUUGGAUCUUCAUUUUAUACUACGGCUCCUCCCUUUGGUGCGACGGCCUUUUAAUUCUUUAUAUAUAUGGUUUGUAUGAUCAACAUCUUUGAAUUUGAAAUCUCAAAACUAUUUAUAGUCUUUCAAAAGACUUCAUGUUGCAAAGUGUCCAUUAGAGAAUUUAUGGCAUAGAUAUCUUAGUAUCCUUGAUGUUGACUUUCUGCACUUGUGUCAGGUUGCUUUCAGCUGGUCUUAUCAGACUCUAGCUUUAUCUCCCAACGGAUAAAUAACUUCUUUCUUUAAAAUAGUUGUAGGACAUAUAUGAUCUGAUCUUCAAUAUUGUUUAAGGAUAUACUGAUAAAUGCCUUGGGACCUUCAAUAUUGCAACGUUCUGAUUAUCAGUCUUAUAUGUCAAACUUGACUCUGCUCUACAAACUUUGAUGAUAGUAGAAUGAUGAGAAUCGUGGAGCUUGAGCUUUGUGUUUUCUCUACGAUUAUUGACUUGACUUCUGCUCUACUAUCUGUUUUGUAACUGUUUUUUGAUAAUAGUAGACUGAUGGUAAUCGUAGCGUUGGUCUUUGCAAUUGCUCUACGAUUAUGACUUGACUUUUGUUCUACUAUUUGCUCUUAUAUUUGUUCUUCUGUUUGCUUCAUUAAAAAGUGCUCCGUAAUGCUUGAGCAGACUCGUAGACCUUCUCUUUGUUUUCUGAACAAUUUAGCAGCUAUAUUAUUCCGAAGACAGUCCUACAAUAUGGCUGUCUUUUUGAACCUUUAUUUUACCUUGGCUGCUGCUUCAUUAACUCUUUGUUUACUUUGCGUCCUGACUUGUUGUUUGAGAUUAGGCAAAGUUCUUCAUAACAUUUGGGUAGACUAACAGACUUCUCUUUUAUUCUCUAAAUGCCUUGGCAGCUCUGCGAUGUUGGAGAUAGCUCUACUAUCUGUCUAUCUCUCGAUACUUUACAUUAUCAGCUGCUGCUCUACGAGAUCCCGGUUACUCUACGAACUGAUUUGCUUUAUGAUCAUGCAGAGAACUUUCAAUUUAUCCUCUUUAAAAGAUAUUUCAGAGAUUCCUCCUGAUAAGAAUUAUACUUGGGUAUUCAUAGAAUAUAUCCUUCUGCGAUCAACUUCUUCUUAUUGAAUUAAUGUUUU